UGCAUAUCAAAAAAGCGGAGGAAAAGAAACUAACAAGGAUUCCCCUAGUAACUGCGAGUGAAGCGGGAAAAGCUCAAAUUUAAAAUCUGGUGGUCUUUGGCCAUCCGAGUUGUAAUCUAGAGAAGUGUUAUCCGCGCUGGACCGUGUACAAGUCCCCUGGAAUGGGGCGUCAUAGAGGGUGAGAAUCCCGUCUUUGACACGGACUACCAGGGCUUUGUGAUGCACUCUCAAAGAGUCGAGUUGUUUGGGAAUGCAGCUCAAAAUGGGUGGUAAAUUCCAUCUAAAGCUAAAUAUUGGCGAGAGACCGAUAGCGAACAAGUACCGUGAGGGAAAGAUGAAAAGAACUUUGGAAAGAGAGUUAAACAGUACGUGAAAUUGUUGAAAGGGAAACGCUUGAAGUCAGUCGCGUCUGCCAGGGAUCAACCUUACUUUUGUGAGGCGUACUUCCUGGUUGAUGGGUCAGCAUCAGUUUUGGUCGCUGGAUAAAGGUCAGAGAAAUGUGGCACCUUCGGGUGUGUUAUAGUCUUUGAUCAGAUACAGUGGCUGGGACUGAGGAACUCAGCGCCGCAAGGCUGUCUUAGGAUGCUGGCAAAAUGGCUUUAAUCGACCCGUCUUGAAACACGGACCAAGGAGUC
rnacentral:rRNA from 1 species